UUGAUUGAUCAUAGGAUUUUUCUGGCUAUUCUAGCUACUUCCAAUUCGCUUCAGCCAAUUUAGUUGAAGUUUUAUCACUUGUGACUUCAGAGUCCUGGUUAAUAUCCUGUUGCCCUCAGGACAUGCAGGAUGGAGGAAGGCACCAGGGAGCCGAGGGAAGUGAGCAGAGAGGCAGUCACUUCAGGGCCACCAGCAUAGCCCCCGUCACUGUCCACAGACACAGGCCCUUCCCCUUCUCAUGGUUGAGCAGGCUCCACCUCACUUCCGUGUAUGACUUCAUAGACCGUUAGGUUCCGUGGUACCCUGGAGUCCACAGCUGCUGAAUCUGAAGGGCCAUCAGAAGACUGGCUUCUCCAUGAUGGUUUAUGGACUAAGGCAAAGAUGAGCAGAGCCAUGGCCCUCUUCUUUGUUCUCUGCUGGAUCCAAGAGUCGGGGGUCUCCCUAUGUUUCCCAGGCUGGCCUCGAACUCCUGACCUCAAGUGAUCCUCCCACCUCAGCCUCCCCGAGUGCUGGGAUUAAAGACGUGAGCCACGGCACCUGGCCUGAAUUUUCCUCAAAUUCAAAAAAUCCUGAUGAAGGUUUGGCUAAAAUCUUUGGUGAGUUACCCCACUCCCUGUGGAACCUCAGGCUGGAUUUGAAGAGUUGCGUGCAUGGUCCUCAUUGUCUCCCAGAUGAAAUUGUGCUCCAAGUGUUUUCCAAGGUUCCGUAUGACCCAUCAUUUGAUGAAACAAGAACAGCAGUCAGAUCCAUUACAAAGAGAGACACACAAAAAAGCAAGUAUAUGUCGUUAACCUGACAUGUGUA
rnacentral:lncRNA from 1 species